rnacentral:rRNA from 1 species
CCUACGGGAGGCAGCAGUGGGGAAUAUUGGACAAUGGGGGCAACCCUGAUCCAGCCAUGCCGCGUGUGUGAAGAAGGCCCUCGGGUUGUAAAGCACUUUCAGUGAGGAAGAACGCCUGGUGGUUAAUACCCAUCAGGAAAGACAUCACUCACAGAAGAAGCACCGGCUAACUCCGUGCCAGCAGCCGCGGUAAUACGGAGGGUGCGAGCGUUAAUCGGAAUUACUGGGCGUAAAGCGCGCGUAGGUGGCUUGAUAAGCCGGUUGUGAAAGCCCCGGGCUCAACCUGGGAACGGCAUCCGGAACUGUCAAGCUAGAGUGCAGGAGAGGAAGGUAGAAUUCCCGGUGUAGCGGUUAAAUGCGUAGAGAUCGGGAGGAAUACCAGUGGCGAAGGCGGCCUUCUGGACUGACACUGACACUGAGGUGCGAAAGCGUGGGUAGCAAACAGGAUUAGAUACCCGUGUAGUC